AAUACGUAGGGGGCAAGCGUUGUCCGGAAUUAUUGGGCGUAAAGAGCUCGUAGGCGGUGUGUCGCGUCGGCCGUGAAAACUUGCAGCUCAACUGUGGGCGUGCGGUCGAUACAGGCAUCACUGGAGUUCGGCAGGGGAGACUGGAAUUCCUGGUGUAGCGAUGAAAUGCGCAGAUAUCAGGAGGAACACCGGUGGCGAAGGCGGGUCUCUGGGCCGGUACUGACGCUGAGGAGCGAAAGCGUGGGGAGCGAACAGGA
rnacentral:rRNA from 1 species